rnacentral:lncRNA from 1 species
AUAAUUUUCCAGAGCAUUCUUCGAUUCCACCUUCUUUUUAUGCUCCUCGUCUUCUGACUUGUACUUCUCCGCUUCCUGCACCAUCUUCUCAAUCUCCUCCUUGCUGAGCCUACCCUUGUCGUUGGUGAUGGUGAUCUUGUUCUUCUGUCCAGUGGUCUUGUCCUCAGCAGAGACAUUCAAGAUACCAUUGGCGUCAAUGUCGAAGCAAACCGUGAUCUGAGGAACCCCCCUAGGCGCAGGUGGAAUCCCAGAGAGCUCAAAUUUUCCAAGCAGAUUGUUGUCUCUGGUCCGGGUCCUCUCUCCCUCAUAAACCUGGAUCAAGACACCCGGUUGGUUGUCUGAAUAGGUAGAGAACACCUGUUCCUUCUUCGUGGGAAUGGUAGUGUUCCUGGGAAUUAAGACGGUCAUAACUCCUCCAGCAGUCUCCAGACCAAGAGAAAGAGGAGUGACAUCCAACAGAAGCAGGUCUUGCACCUUCUCGUUACCCUCACCGCUAAGAAUAGCAGCCUGAACAGCAGCACCGUAGGCAACUGCCUCAUCAGGAUUGAUGCUUUUGCAAAGCUCCUUCCCGUUGAAGAAGUCCUGCAACAACUGCUGAACCUUUGGUAUUCUGGUAGAUCCACCAACAAGAACCACAUCAUGGACAGUGCUCUUGUCCAUCUUGG